CCUACGGGUGGCAGCAGUGAGGAAUAUUGGUCAAUGGUCGGGAGACUGAACCAGCCAAGCCGCGUGAGGGAGGAAGGUACAGAGUAUCGUAAACCUCUUUUGUCAGGGAACAAAGACUGGGACGCGUCCCCGGAUGAGUGUACCUGAAGAAAGAGCAUCGGCAAACUCCGUGCCAGCAGCCGCGGUAAUACGGGGGAUGCGAGCGUUAUCGGGAUUUAUUGGGUUUAACGGGUGCGCAGGCGGUCUGUUAUGUCAGCGGUCAAAGCCCGGGGCUCAACCCCGGCCCGCCGUUGAAACUGGCAGUCUCGAGUUGGAGAGAAGUAUGCGGAAUGCGCGGUGUAGCGGUGAAAUGCGUAGAGAUCGCGCAGAACUCCGAUUGCGAAGGCAGCAUGCCGGCUCCACACUGACGCUGAGGCACGAAAGCGUGGGUAUCGAACAGGAUUAGAUACCCUAGUAGUC
rnacentral:rRNA from 1 species